UACGUAGGGAGCAAGCGUUGUCCGGAAUCAUUGGGCGUAAAGCGCGCGUAGGUGGCCUCAUAAGUCCGUUGUGAAAGUCAAAGGCUCAACCUUUGAAAGCCGAUGGAUACUGUGGAGCUAGAGUACGGAAGAGGCGAGUGGAAUUCCUGGUGUAGCGGUGGAAUGCGCAGAUAUCAGGAGGAACACCAAUAGCGAAGGCAGCUCGCUGGGACGUUACUGACACUGAGGCGCGAAAGCGUGGGGAGCGAACAGG
rnacentral:rRNA from 1 species